CAUACCUACAUAAAAUAUUGAAGAUAGGGCUGACAGCAGGAAAUUGAACUCAUAACAGUUUUGGUUAUCAGUGACCUCAUAACAGUUUUAUUUUUCGGUUUAGUUUAAAGAUUAGGCUAUGAUUGGUAAACAUCGCUUAAUUGCAGAAUCAUGAAAAAUAGUUAAGCUGCGAAAAAAUUAAAAAUACGGAAUGGCGGAACACAUAUUAUAUAAAUAAAAAUAUUUAUAUGAUAUUGACUUUAUUAUAAAAAAACAAACACGAAUAAUUAAACUAAUUAUUAAAAAAUGUGAAAAUAACUAAAAUUUAUUAACUAAAAUUUAUUAAAAAAUACUUUACUCUUAAUUAUAAAUAUUUUGUUUAUUUUUAUAUACAUUUUUAAUAAUAAACUGACAUCGUAUAACAUUAUUAAAAAAAUUAUAAUAUAAUUUUAUUUACUACAUAAUUAUUUAUCAUUAAAAUGAUAUUAUCAUGUGAAAGUGUUGAUUUUGUAAGUAAUCAACUAAAGCUCACGUUUCUACUUAAUAAACUUUUUUUUUGUAUUUUUAUCAGCAAAAAAUGUAAAUUUGCGUUUUUUUUAUACCGCAAUUUUUGUUGAUUGGCAAAAUGUGCAAGAUGUGCUUUUCCUCGGUAAUGACGUCAGUGUAACUCCUAUAUGCUCAAAAUUUUCACAAGGAAACUACCGGUGAGAGCAAAAGAGUUAAACCUUUCUUACUGGUGUUGUGAGGGUGUAUAUCUAUAUUUUGUUGGAAUGAAUGGCUUAGGUUGUAGAAUAUUUAGAUGCAGUCAUUAGGAAAGGUGCUGAAGUGAAGUUGGCAGCAAAUUGGAUAAUGAGUGAUAUUGCAGCAAUAUCUAUCAAUGAUGUUAAACUUAGUCCUCAAGAGUUGGCUGAGCUGAUAGCUGCCAUCAAAGAUGGAACCAUUAGCGGAAAGAUUGGAAAACAGCUAUUGGCUAAAGGCGGAACCGUCCAAGGAAUGAUUAAGGGAAAAGACUUGCCUGCAGAUAACCGAUCCUGUGGAGAUGGAGAAAAUGGUUAUGAAGGUGUUCUCCAAAUCUCCAAAGCAGCUUGAGCAGUACCGAAGUGGGAGAACCAAGCUUCAAGGCUUUUUUUACUGGCCAGGUAAUGAAACCGUCAAAAGGCAAAGCAAACCCUGCUUUACUUAACAAGAUUCUCCUGGAGAAGCUCAACACAAAGGAGUAACUGAAGUACAAGCUUCAGGUUUUGGCAGUUGAGAUUAGUGAAAAGUGUUUUCCAAUUACUGUUUUUCUGUAGAGAUUUGUUAAAGUGUACUAAAAAUAAUCGAUUUCGAUAGAUUGUUGUAGUGGCAAUACAACGGAUAUUGAAUUGUUACAGAAAGAUUUUGACUAACAAUGACAAGUUCCUUCAACAA